UACGGAGGGUGCGAGCGUUGUUAGGAAUCACUGGGCGUAAAGCGCGUGUAGGCGGUCUACUAAGUCUGAUGUGAAAGCCCGGGGCUCACCCUCGGAAGUGCAUUGGAAACUGGCAGACUGGAGUCCCGGAGAGGAGGGUGGAAUUCCUGGUGUAGCGGUGAAAUGCGUAGAUAUCAGGAGGAACUCCCGUGGCGAAGGGGGCCCUCUGGACGGUGACUGACGCUGAGACGCGAAAGCGUGGGGAGCAAACAGU
rnacentral:rRNA from 1 species